CCCGCUCCCUCGGUGCCGGCCUCGCCCCCUCGCAGCGGAGCGGGGCGGGGAGGCGGCUCCCUCCCGCCUCCGCUUCCCCCGCAGCGCCGCCCCGCCGGGGCCACGGGGGCGGCACCGCGCCGGGACGCGGCCCGGGCCGAGGAGACACCUGGACCCGCCCCGCCGCCCCGGCGGCUCCGCGAGCGCGUGGGGAAGCCGGAGCAACGCGGCGGCCUUGCCCGGGGCGCGCUGGGUCUCCGGCCGGGCGGUUUCCUGCCGCCCCGGGUGCUGGCUGCGCUCCCGGGGCUGCCACGGCCCGACCCCCUCACUCGCACUGCGAGGGCAGCGGCAAAGCACCGUGCGGCCGCGCCUGGCCCCGCUCCUGUGCAUCGCGGCCGGCAACGCACAGCUCCGUGCUGGCGGGGGGCUGAGCCUGCCCGAGCCCCUCAAGCCCCCGCGCAGGGCUGAGCAGCGUCCAGCAUCUCUGCUGCAUCUCUCCAACCCAGACAAGGUGAGAGGGGUGGAGCGGUCGGGGAGGUUUCCAGGCUGGGGUCCACGUCCAUCCCGUCUUUGGUGGUUCUUCAUCAGGUAUCUGCGAGGGUCGGGGCGGGUUUGAGGGUGCUGGGACGUGGAGUGAGCCCCCAGGAGGGGAUGGGUGCUGUGGUGGACCCAGCCCUGCGUGCAGCACGCUGGGGAUGGAGCUCAGGGUCUCCCUGCCUGGAGGCCACCAGCGUGGCUGGAAAUGCCGUGGGUCCGGAGCUGCUGCCCGCUGCGCUGCCCUGCGGCUGCCCGUGCCCCACUGCAGCGGGACAGGCGUCACACUCCCCGGGGGCUGCUGGUCUCCAAGGGGUCUGGCCUAGCCCAGGAGCGGUCAACGAUCAACGCUCACCCCCCCCCCAGCCCUGCUGCGGCCAUGGGACACCCUGCCAGAGGUGGUCCCGGAGAGCACGAGUGACACCCCGUGGGACCUGCUCCCCUGCCCCAUACCUGUCCGUGGGGCUCCACGGGGCCUCCCGCCCAGCUGCCCAGCACCGAGCAAUGCUCAGGAACAGUUUCUUUGCAAAAGCCGGAGGGUUAAAGGCCACCUGGGCCAGGCCUGCGCAGGGGACCCAGGAGUGGCCGGAGGAAGGUGGGUUUCCCCAAGAUGUCACCCAGCAUCCUUAGUGCUCUGCCCAGCGUUACUCCCAGGGCCUCUUCUGCACCCCCAUCGCAACGCCUGCACCCCAGUGCCUCCCUUCCUCUCACCUGAGCCUUCCUCCCCCUCAGCUCCCUCAGAUGACCCUUCGUUGCGAUGCUCGUGCUGGUUUCGCGCAACGCGUGCUGCCGGGCCAGCUGGCAGCCUGCACCACGAUAACCUUGAGCUCGCGCUUCAGGGGAGACAUCAGUUUUCACACUUAGAGGAGCUUAAUUAUCUUUGAGCCCUCUGUCCCUUUGUAAACCGAGGGAAACUGGCCAAAAGUUUCCGGGAGGGAAUGGCACUACCAGCUGGAUAGAUAAUGCUGGGGUGGAAGUCUUCUUCUUCUAGGAUGACCAGGAUGUCGCAGUUUGGAGCAAUACACUUCCCAAAAAGACUUCCCUGGGUGCCAAAACUUGAAAGAGAUGGUCAGAGAGGGAGGUGGGAGAAAACCCGUGCUGAGCGACUCGCUGGCUGGUGCUUUCUGCGGGGAGCCAAAGCACUCGCGGACGGCAGCGGGAGCCAGUUUUGGGUCCCGCACUGAUUUUUGGCAAGAUUUGAGUACACCACUUCCCCGGCCGGCUGCUAACCAAGGGCCAGCGCUGCCAUGCCGCGGUCCAGCGUUUGCAAACAGCCCUGAGGCCCUCAGCAAGGUGUCCGUGGGUGAAAUAGCUGCCGGCUCGGAGCGCGGCUCCGCGGACCUGCCCCUUCGGAGUGACUAACCUGCUCUCUAUUUCCGCCCGGGAAGGCACGAGACGCGGGGAGAGGAAAUGAUAUCAGCUGUCAAACUGCUGGCGGCAGGUGCCGCAGUCACGGGACCGGCUGUUAUGGUCUCCGUCCUCGAUGCUGCUACAUCCGUCCCAUGUCCCGUGCCGCGGGGAUGCCCUUUGCCCUGCCUGGCCUGGCAGCGAUGCCGUAAAGAAGUCAAAAGUCCGGAUGGUGUCCGCCGGCUGCGUCACCCGUCCCGAUGCCGUGCCACCCUUGGCGGGCGCCCGCUUGGUGCCACCGCCAGCGCAGGGCUCACCGCCGGCGCCGCGCAGCUCCCUUCGCCUCCGCGGCGCCCCGAUGCCGGGCUCCUCCGGGCUGGAUGCGCGUGCCCGGGACACGACGGCUCUCCCGGUCGCCACUUUGCCCCCGCGGCCAAGGUGGCCACACAAGCAGAGCGAUUUUAUGCCCGCUGCUGAGCACCUUUCCCAGGCCGUGACGGCCCUGGAGGGCUGGAUGUGGCCACGGUGCAGAUGGAGAUGAGGCUCCUUCUCCGCACCCUGCCAGGGGGGUGUUGGGAGAAGGCUCGUGCGUCCGCAGCUCUGCUCAGGGAGCCGGUGCAGCGACCGCCGCGCCGCAGGCGCUCCGGAGAAAGCAGAAGAUGCUGCGUAUGGGGAAACUGAGGCAGGCUCAGCAGCCGGGACUUGCCCUGAGUUGUGCAAGAAGCUGUGGGUUAAAUAUGGCGAUUGAGUGCCCCCUCCUGCCCCCUGCCCCGGAUCCAGCUGCCAGAGCGAGCCGGUCCUCCCCGAGGAAGGCACCCGGGGCGCAGGGUUAUGCGCGGGGGUCCCGCUCGCUGCUCUCUGCGGGAGCAGGCAGAGGGGGCCCGGCUCCCCCGGUGCUCUGCCUGCCGCAACCCCGUGGGCUCCCCCGCGGAUGCAUCCCGGUUCCGGCUCCAGCCCGAGCCUCUGUGCCAGGGCAACUCGGCUUUCAGGCUGCCGCCGCGGCGCCGGGGAGCUGGGAGCCGCACCGAGGACACGGCUCUGCUGCAAGCCGAACCCGGCAUUUCGUUCCGGGGCACGCGGCUCCCCCGAUCCCCCCACGCUCGGUCGCGUCUGCCGCGAGCCGGCCGGGGCCGGGGGCAGAAGGGGAGGCAUUCGCGGCGGGGCAGCCGCUCCUAGCCCUGCUCUCGUUGCUCAAGGUACAUGUCUCAAGGUGGAGCCAGAAAUAGCGCUGCGCUGCGCUGCGCCGGGGCCGGGGAGGGCUGCAGGGCUUGGCAGGGGGACAGACACCGACUGCAGCAGCGGGAACUUUCCAGCCAGCGCCGGCCCGAGCGGCCGAUGCGGAGACCAACCCUUCGCCCGGCGGGAUGCUGGCAGGGGGGAUGCGGCGGGAUAUGGCAGGGGGACGGCACGGCACAGCGAGGGGACGGCGGAGACGGGGGUCGCUCUGGGCAUCACAUCCCGCCUCAGGCUCACAGCUAGGACUGGGGGCUGCUGGGUUUGGGGCUGCCCCCAGGUUGCUGCAGGGCUCCAGCAAGUCUCUUUGGCUCCAGCAACGCCAUCUCCACGCCCAAGCGACCCGCGGGCAGUAUAUAACACCGCAAGCCCGUCCUGGCUUUGCACAGGGAGCAGGGCUUCACUCCAGAGGUUUCUCCGGCUCCGAGAAGCCGGGGAUUACGGCAGCUCCUAAAUCGCCGCGGGGGUCCGUGACCCCAGCGGGACCUGACCCUCCGCCGGGCUCUCGGCGGGUCACCGGCGCAGCCCUCCCGGCCUCACCGCAAAGCCCUUGGCGAGCCCAGCGAGCUGAGCUCAUUCUUCCCGGCUGACGAUUUCCUCAGAAAUGUUUCUGAGGUCAGUUCUGCGCCAGAAACCGCUCCCGAACACCCAGCGAGAAGCUGCUGCGUCUCGGGGAACCGCACGCUCUGCUCGCCCAGCCGAAAAGUCACCCCGGUGACUAACCCCGGCGUCACAGAGAUGGGGGCCAACGCGCCGCUCUUUGAUCUCGCUCUUUUCUCCGGGGAAGCCAAAUUUCAGGCUGUCGCAGGGUUCUCACCACUUCCCCGUAGCGGUUUCCUGCGAUGGAUGAGCACACGCAUAUUUGGGAGCUGAGUCAGAGUCCUGCAACACGAACCACCUGGCCGUGCUGCCGCCGGCCGGGCUGGGGGAGCCUCCCCCGGGCGCACGGGAUCCCGGCCGCGACGCUCGGCGCCUGCGGGCAGCACGGCCAAGGAGGGACGCGGCAUCCUGCUGCCGCACGCGGUUUCUGGCCCGGAUAAGAUAAAGCGGGACUUGCUGCCCUGA